rnacentral:rRNA from 1 species
UAGGGAAUCUUCCACAAUGGACGCAAGUCUGCUGGAGCAACGCCGCGUGAGUGAAGAAGGUUUUCGGAUCGUAAAGCUCUGUUGUUGGUGAAGAAGGAUAGAGGCAGUAACUGGUCUUUAUUUGACGGUAAUCACCCAGAAAGUCACGGCUAACUACGUGCCAGCAGCCGCGGUAAUACGUAGGUGGCAAGCGUUGUCCGGAUUUAUUGGGCGUAAAGCGAGCGCAGGCGGAAUUAUAAGUCUGAUGUGAAAGACCACGGGUCAUCCGUGGAACUGCGUCGGAAACUGUCAUUGUUGAGUGCAGAAGAGGAGAGUGGGAUUCCAUGUGUGGCGGUGUAAUGCGUAGAUAUAUGGAAGAACACCAGUGGCGAAGGCGGCUCUCUGGUCUGCAACUGACGCUGAGGCUCGAAAGCAUGGGUAGCGAACAGG